AUGUAUGUAUGUAUGUAUGUAUGUAUGUAUGUGUGUAUGUGUGUAUGUGUGUAUGUAUCUAUCUUCUAUGUAUGUAUGUAUAUAUCUAUCAUCUAUGUAUGUAUGUAUCUGUCAUCUAUGUAUCUAUCAGUCUAUCAUCUAUCUCAUCUAUCAUCUAUCAUCUAUCUAUCAUCUAUCUAUCUACCUACCUACCUACCUAUCAAUCUAUCUUCUACCUAUCUAUCGUCUGCCUGCCUGCCUAUCUAUCUAUCUAUCUAUCUAUCUAUCUAUCUAUCUAUCAUCUUCUAUCAUCUAUCUAGCUAUCUAUCAUCUAUCUAUCAUAUUCUAUCAUCUAUCUAUCUAUCAUCUAUGUAUCUAUCAAUCUGUCAUCUUUCUGUCAUCUAUCAUCUUCUAUCACCUAUCAUCUAUAUAUCUAUUUGUAUAUCCAUCAAUCUGUCUAUCUAUCAUCUAUCAUCUAUGUAUCUAUCAAUCUAUCUUCUAUCUAUCUAUCAUCUAUCUGUCAUAUUCUAUCAUCUAUCAUCUAUGUAUCUAUCAAUCUAUCAUCUAUCAUCUAUAUAUCAUCUAUCAUAUUCUAUCAUCUAUCAUCUAUGUAUCUAUCAUCUAUGUAUAUAUCAAUCUAUCAUCUAUCAUUUUAUAUCAUCUAUCAUCUAUCAUCUAUCUAUCUAUCAUCUAUCUAUGUAUCUCUAUCUGUCUUCUAUCAUCUAUCAUCUAUGUAUCUAUCAAUCUAUCUUCUAUCAUCUAUCAUAUUCUAUCAUCUAUCACCUAUGUAUCUAUCAAUCUAUCAUCUAUCUAUGUAUCAUCUAUAUAUCAUCUAUCAUAUUCUAUCAUCUAUCUAUCGUCUACGUAUCUAUCAUCUAUGUAUAUAUCAAUCUAUCAUCUAUCAUCUAUCAUUUUAUAUCAUCUAUCUAUCAUCCAUCAUCUAUCUAUCAUCUAUCUAUGUAUCUCUAUCUUCUAUCAUCUAUCUAUCUAUCAUCUAUGUAUCAAUCUAUAUUCUAUCUAUCAUGUAUCAUAUUCUAUCAUCUAUCUAUCUAUCAUCUAUCUAUGUAUCUGUAUCUAUCUUCUAUCAUCUAUCUAUCAUCUAUGUAUCAAUCUAUAUUCUAUCUAUCUAUCAUCUAUCAUAUUCUGUCAUCUAUCUAUCUAUCUAUCUAUCUAUCUAUCUAUCUAUCUAUGCGGUGGAUGAAGCUAAUUUCCUCAGAUGAAGUGUGCUUUAAUUGCAAGUGUGGCAAGAACCUCAAUCCCCCAGUUGUCUCUGUAAGGCUUUUUGCAGCUCUUGCAGGCGUGUGCAGGUCACAGGAAGUAUUAACUGCCUCAAGGCUGCAUCAUCAUGUUCCAUGGAGUUAA
rnacentral:lncRNA from 1 species